UACGUAGGGGGCUAGCGUUGUCCGGAUUUAUUGGGCGUAAAGAGCGUGUAGGCGGCCAGAUAGGUCUGCUGUGAAAACUCGAGGCUCAACCUUCAGAGGUCGACCCAAACCCCCUGGCUAGAGUCCGGAAGAGGAGAGUGGAAUUCCUGGUGUAGCGGUGAAAUGCGCAGAUAUCAGGAAGAACACCCGUGGCGAAGGCGGCUCUCUGGGACGGUACUGACGCUGAGGCACGAAAGCGUGGGGAGCAAACAGG
rnacentral:rRNA from 1 species